AUAGCGUAUAUUAAAGUUGUUGCAGUUAAAAAGCUCGUAGUUGAACUUCGGGCCUGGCCGGGUGGUCCGCCUCACGGCGCUGUACUGUCUGGCCGGGCCUUACCUCUUGGUGAGCCGGCGUGCCCUUCACUGGGUGCGUCGGGGAACCAGGACUUUUACCUUGAGAAAAUUAGAGUGUUCAAAGCAGGCUUACGCCGGAAUACAUUAGCAUGGAAUAAUAAAAUAGGACGUGCGGUUCUAUUUUGUUGGUUUCUAGAGUCGCCGUAAUGAUUAAUAGGGAUAGUUGGGGGCAUUUGUAUUGCGUUGCUAGAGGUGAAAUUCUUGGAUUUACGCAAGACAAACUAUUG
rnacentral:rRNA from 1 species